GAUGAACGCUAGCUACAGGCUUAACACAUGCAAGUCGAGGGGCAGCGGGAAGUCAGCUUGCUGACUUUGCCGGCGACCGGCGCACGGGUGAGUAACACGUAUCCAACCUUCCCGUUACUCUGGAAUAGCCUUUCGAAAGAAAGAUUAAUACCGGAUAGUAUCGAGAGAUUGCAUGAUUACCCGAUUAAAGAUUCAUCGGUAACGGAUGGGGAUGCGUUCCAUUAGGCAGUUGGCGGGGUAACGGCCCACCAAACCUACGAUGGAUAGGGGUACUGAGAGGAAGGUCCCCCACAUUGGAACUGAGACACGGUCCAAACUCCUACGGGAGGCAGCAGUGAGGAAUAUUGGUCAAUGGGCGAGAGCCUGAACCAGCCAAGUAGCGUGAAGGAUGACUGCCCUACGGGUUGUAAACUUCUUUUAUAAGGGAAUAAAGUGGUCCACGUGUGGAUUUUUGUAUGUACCUUAUGAAUAAGCAUCGGCUAACUCCGUGCCAGCAGCCGCAGUAA
rnacentral:rRNA from 1 species